GGGCUGUGACGAUUCUAUCAGAAAGGUCUCGUUCGUCGUAAAUGGCUGUUUUCAAUAGCCUUUGCCGACCACCCAUAUUCCGAGUCC